UACGUAGGGGGCAAGCGUUGUCCGGAAUCAUUGGGCGUAAAGCGCGCGUAGGCGGUCAGGUAAGUCCGGUGUGAAAGUCAAAGGCUCAACCUUUGAAUGCCGCUGGAAACUGUCUGACUUGAGUCCGGUAGGGGCGAGUGGAAUUCCUGGUGUAGCGGUGAAAUGCGCAGAUAUCAGGAGGAACACCAAUGGCGAAGGCAGCUCGCUGGAACGGUACUGACGCUGAGGCGCGAAAGCGUGGGGAGCGAACAGG
rnacentral:rRNA from 1 species